rnacentral:rRNA from 1 species
AUUUGUAAACAUAGCAUCCUGAAUAUGCCAGAUCUUGUCUGGUCUUGAUGUUGAGCAGGGUCAGGCCUGCUUAGUACUUGGAUACCGGAAGAAAAACAUCCUUUAUGGAGC